rnacentral:rRNA from 1 species
CCUACGGGGGGCUGCAGUGGGGAAUCUUGCACAAUGGGGGAAACCCUGAUGCAGCGACGCCGCGUGAGCGAUGAAGCCCCUCGGGGUGUAAAGCUCUUUCGGCAGGAACGAUAAUGACGGUACCUGCAGAAGAAGCUGCGGCUAACUACGUGCCAGCAGCCGCGGUAAUACGUAGGCAGCGAGCGUUGUUCGGAGUUACUGGGCGUAAAGAGUGUGUAGGCGGUUUGCCAAGUUCGGUGUGAAAUCUCCCGGCUUAACUGGGAGGGUGCGCCGAAUACUGGCAGGCUAGAGUGCGGGAGAGGAGAGCGGAAUUCCUGGUGUAGCGGUGAAAUGCGUAGAUAUCAGGAGGAACACCUGCGGUGUAGACGGCUCUCUGGACCGUUUCUGACGCUGAGACACGAAAGCGUGGGUAGCAAACAGGAUUAGAUACCCUAGUAGUC